UUGCAUGUUGCACUGCCUGCUCCUCAUUCCUUUAGAAACAGUAAUGCAUCUAUUAUCAAGCUACAUUUUUUUAAAAAAAGGAGUUCUUAGUGCUGCCAAUUUUACACUAAAGGUUGGAUAGUAAUAUAUUUUUCCUACACAA